UAGGUAUGAAAAGUUAUGAAUGGGACUUAGUUAAAAUGCAAGAAAGGAGCUAAACUAAUCUUGACAUUUAUUAGGUAUGAAAAGUUAUGAAAGGGACUUAGUUGAAAUGCAAGAAAGGAGCUAAACUAAUCUUGACAUUUAUUAGGUAUGAAAAGUUAUGAAAGGGACGUGGUUGAAAUGCAAUGAAGGAGCUAAACCAAUCUUAAUUCAUUUAUCAGUUAUUCAUGAUGAUCCAUUGCAAAAUUAGAGCAAAGUGACAUACGUCCGUUAGCAGCAGGAGACCAGCGUAAAAUAGAAGCAAGAAUUCUGAUGAGAAAUUAGAUCAACAUUGACUAAUUAUAAAUUGCUCUUUCAUUAUUUUAAACGAAUUCGCGAUGAAGA